AUGCGUCUUCUUGCUCCAGCAUUCAAGUUCCAUUUCAAGGGAGGACGACGUACCAUGAUACUUUCUGUUUUGUCGAGCCCUGCUUUGGUCUCUGGUUUGAUGGUUGUACGUGCUAAAAAUCCGGUACAUUCCGUUUUGUUUCCCAUCCUAGUCUUUUGCGACACUUCUGGUUUACUUAUUUUGUUAGGUCUCGACUUCUCCGCUAUGAUCUCCCCAGUAGUUCAUAUAGGAGCUAUGCUGUUUCAUUCCUAUUCGUGGUUAUGA
rnacentral:rRNA from 1 species